rnacentral:tRNA from 1 species
GAGCAUAGCUCAGUUGGGAGAGCAUCUGCCUUACAAGCAGAGGGUCACAGGUUCGAGUCCUGUUGUUCCC